CUCAGAUGGAGGGCAGGAAGUGAAGUAGCUGAGGAUCUGCCGUCUGAAAUAAUGCCUAUAUUUUGUGUAGUUUACGGCUGCUCCAAUCGUUCUAACCGAGAAAAGGAAAAGAGCUUUUACAGAGUACCAAAGAUUGUCGUCCAUAAAGGUGAAAAUUGUAAAAAGCUCACAGAACAACGCCGAAAAAAAUGGAUUCUAAACCUACGUCUGCGAUCUGAAGGAGCAGAGUCUGCCAAUGCCCGUGUCUGCAGUGACCACUUCGUCAGAGGCCUUCAUUUGCUGUUUGGUGUAAUACGACGUCUGAAGGAC